rnacentral:rRNA from 1 species
GGAAACGACUGCUAAUCCCGGAUGAGCCUGAGGGUAAAAGAGAAAUUGCCUAGAGAGGAGCUCGCGUCUGAUUAGCUAGUUGGUGGGAUAAAAGCCUACCAAGGCGACGAUCAGUAGCUGUUCUGAGAGGAAGAUCAGCCACACUGGGACUGAGACACGGCCCAGACUCCUACGGGAGGCAGCAGUGGGGAAUUUUCCGCAAUGGGCGCAAGCCUGACGGAGCAAGACCGCGUGGGGGAGGAAGGCUCUUGGGUUGUAAACCCCUUUUCUCAAGGAAGAAGUUCUGACGGUACUUGAGGAAUCAGCCUCGGCUAACUCCGUGCCAGCAGCCGCGGUAAUACGGAGGAGGCAAGCGUUAUCCGGAAUGAUUGGGCGUAAAGCGUCCGCAGGUGGCCGUUCAAGUCUGCUGUCAAAUCCAGGGGCUCAACUCCUGACCGGCAGUGGAAACUGAACAGCUAGAGUGCGGUAGGGGCAGAGGGAAUUCCCGGUGUAGCGGUGAAAUGCGUAGAGAUCGGGAAGAACACCGGUGGCGAAAGCGCUCUGCUGGGCCGCAACUGACGCUCAGGGACGAAAGCUAGGGGAGCGGAUGGGAUUAGAUACCC